AGGUUUCAUCAUUUGCUGAUAUGGAAGGAGAGGAAACAUUUGAUUCAUCACUUCUUGGACAUGCAGAUGAAGUAGUUGAGGAGUGCAUUGCUGAUGAUGACGUGAUCAUGAUAAAUGGGACAAAAAACUCAAGUGCAGUUUCAUUAAUACUCGGGUGCAAAUGACUAUAUGCUUGACGAAAUGGAGAGAGCUUUGCAUGAUUCCUUGUGCAUUACCAAGAGGACCCUGGAAUCCAAUACUGUUGUUGCAGGUGGAGGUGCAGUUGAGGCUGCCUUAUCUGUCUAUUUGGAGUAUCUUGCCACAACAUUAGGAUCUCGGGAGCAGCUGGCAAUUGCAGAAUUUGCUGAAUCUUUGUUAAUCAUACCAAAGGCUCUGAAAAUGUGAUGAGUUGAUUAUAUUUUCUCCAUUACUCCAUUACUCCCAUCCUUUUACUUAGUGAAUUUUUAUGCAGUCAUUACUCUUUAGUGACAUUCAUCUAGUGCAGAUUCUAGCUGUCAAUGCUGCAAAGGAUGCAACUGAAUUAGUUGCUAAACUACGUGUUUAUCACCACACUGCACAAACGAAGCCAGAUAAAAAGCAUCUGUCUAGCACAGCAUGGGAGUAGAUCUUUUGAAGGGAACUGUCCGUAACAAUCUACAAGCUGGAGUCAUUGAGCCUGCAAUGAGCAAAGUGAAGAUAAUACAGCUUGGUCAAAGUUGUUUCCAGAAUGUCUUUUGUUUUCCAGUUUGCGACUGAAGCUGCUAUAACAAUUCUCCGAAUUGAUGACACGAUCAAGCUUCUCAAAGACGAAAGUCAAAAUGGCGAGGAUUAGGUUCUGCCUAUAUUGAGACUCUGUUGUUCUAGUCCCUGGUUGAACCACGGUUGUUUGAUGACGAGUGGGAGUUGCAAUGCAAUGAAUUUUGUUAAUAUGUGUUGCCGUGGUUUUCCUCGUGCGUUGAUGGAUAAUCCUUUUUUUCUUUUUUGCUUUUUAAAGGAAAAUGUUUUGUCUAGUUUUGUUUGGUAUAGAGUGUUCUCUUUUCUUUAGAUUUUGAGUUGGGGCUAACAUGAAGACUUGAUAUACUAUAAUUGUCCAAAAAUGUUUAUGAUGUUCUGCACUUGUGAUUACAAUGGAAAAUGGGAAGAAAAUCUCACCUUCUAUCAUUGCAAUAAACAAUUACAAUUUUAUUUAUUUUUUGGAGCUUAUUGUAAAUACAUAGUGAGUGUAAUACAUG